UAAGCAAUCGCGUGGUUCGAAUGCAAGAUUCGUUGUAGAUCCAUCAGAGAAAGACAUGGCGGCAGCAGGAUGAAUAAAUGCAAUUUGUCCGAGGUCGCCUUCUUCUUGCAAACCAUUAAAUUCCUUGGCACCUCCAUAUACAAACUUACGAAGAUCAGAAUAACGAUGCUCAUGAACAAUCAAAUGAAUUGGAUAAGAGUGAGCCCUUUGCAAAGCAGAAAGCCAUACUUGAAAUUCCUGUGGGUUACCGACCGUAGCUGAUAGGGCAACAAUGGGACAAGGAGCUAAUAACA